CCUAUUACAAAUAAGUUCCAUGUAGCUGUUAUAUACAGUACCGGUAUGUGCAUUUAUUAUAUCUUUGUAUGUUUCUUUGGAAUUUGUGUAGCUAUUAUAUUACAAAGUGUCUAUGUUUAUAUGAUUUAGAACUACGCACAGCUGAUGAAGCCCCUUCGGGCAAAACAGGGGUAUAUUCAGGAAUCCUUGUCUGGUUUGCCUGUGCCAGCAUCUACCAGUGCCAGUUUCUUUUGUCUACCAACUUUAUCAUCUUCAUUAGACACUUAGAAGAUUAUUUCAUGUCACUCUUCUAAGGAAUACGUCAGACAGAAAAAUACAAGAGAAGAUGAAGAAAUUAGAAAUGAAUGUAUUACGGCACUGACAAAUAGGAUUUGUAUUUUGUACAUACUAGAUUUGGUUGUCAGCCGAAUAAGCUACAUUUCAAUAUAUUAUGUCACGAUGUUGAUUUUGACGCUAUGAGAAGCGGUAUCUAAUUUUCGAGAAGUAGUUUCUAGUAAAUAACUUUGCAAUUGU